GAUCCAUCCCUCCUGCUGGGGCCUUUCUCUCUUUCCCUCCUCCCCCCAUAUCCCGCUCUGCCACCGCCGCCCCAUAUCCCGCUCUGCCACCGCCCCUACUGCUCCACCGAACCGACCUCUUCUUCGAGCGUGAGCCGCUCCUCUCCCUGAAGCCCUCGUACGCACUAGGGUUUCGUGCGCCGCCGCCGCCGCCGGUCCUCUCCAACACUGCGACGGGCUUCAUGGCCUACUUCGGCCUCGGGCCUUAAUGCUUCCUCUGCUUCUGCGUCGGCCGGCUAUUCAGCGAGGAGGACGUACAUCAGGCAGCGGGUGACGCGCGGUGGCUGCGCAAAUUCCUCUGCGGCGGAGAUCUCCAGGAUGGGUGCUUGUCUUCUCGGAAGAAGGAGAUGAUGAAGGAUGCAGAGAAGGAAGGCAACGUGGAAGGCAACGUGGUGUGUUCUUGAUGAUGAUCGAAGAAGAUCUGCUGGCUGCUGUUCAAGGGACGAUAGCCAAAGAAGAAGAAGAUGAUUGCUAUGUUCUGCUAGAUCAGGAUUCUGGAAGACCACGAAGAGGAAUAAGACAAGCAGGCACAUGUGUAUCAUCACGAGCAGCAAAACGAAGAGUAAACCCAAGAAUAUCAAGGGGGGAUUAUGUUGGCUGCCGUGGAGGACGAGAUGCAAGGGUGCUCGGGCAGCGGCUGCAGCAGCGUGACAGAUCAAGCGAGCUAGGUUGUGCCAUCUCUGGUCCUCUCUCUUCAAACGGUCGACACCGGGUGCUUACGAUCGACGUGACGGCGGCGGUGCAAGAGCAUGGCGUAGCUGGUCUGAGAGUGGCGAUGGACUCACUGCCCGCUGCUACUAUAUUCAUCCAAAGUAGUGGCAGGGUGCAGCAGCACGAACGGCUCAGCCUCUACCUUGUUCAUCCCAUUACCACGGAGGCGCUUUAAUUACUGACACAUCUGUUCUUAUUAUGCAACUGCAGGUGAUUUCUCAUCUUUCAACUCGGUCUAUUUUACUCGUCAUACAUGGAGAGAGUUUAUACAAUGUUAGAUGAAGAGUUGGCGGUGCCACGGUGCCAAGGUUUGCUUCUCAAAACUGAUAAGAUCACAUGAUGCUUUUAUAUGCUUAUUAUUAAAUCACAGGCAAAUAACCCACUUCAACCUGCGUGAUAAUUAUGUAGUGAACAGAGCUUUUGUGUAAAUAAACUACCCAACUUUGUCAAGUGAGUUAAUGGAGCAAGUCUUUAAUUUGUAAUUAGCUGUUGUUCAGAAUUGAACUAGCGCUUCAUACAGAACAAUUUUGAGAGCAACUCCCCACAAAAAAAAUACAUCAACUAUAAUUGUUGGAAUCCUGAAGGUAGUUCCAUCGAAGUUUGUGAGUAUAUUUGCAAACCUCUGUCUACCUAUGAAUACUAUUAUCGAGAUAGUUUAAACCAUGUUGUUGGCCUGCUACAAUGCUCAAUGGUUUACCCUUGCUCAGAUCAAUUCUGGUGUGUUUGUAGUGGGAAUGUGGGAUGAUGUAUGAAGAGAUAAAGAAAAUUAUGCUCGCGGAAUAUGAGUAUGUAGUAACAGUUCUCUGUUAUGGUUCGCGACAAUUGUUCUGGUACAUCUCAUUGGUAGUUUAUAUGUAAUGCAAUGCCGUUUUAUAAUUAUCAUGCUAAAAAGUAAUGUUACAUUAGACAUUUCAACAUAAAUGAGAUGGACAACUGAGCCCACAAUAUAUAACUAUGUAUAUUGGGACACAACGUUUUGCCUCUGUGUCCAGAUGAGCCGGUCAUUCGUCAGUUGGAAUCCGCGCCAAAGAGUUUCAGUGGUGUUGGUGUUCGCCAGUAGUCCAGUACAUCGAGUAUAGAACAACCGUGUAUGCUGCAGGUGGUUACGGCGUACAGCGGAACUGACAGAACUAUUUUGAAUCUCGGUGGCUCUGUAUCAGGGUCUUCCUGUACUGACGGUUGAAAGAUUUCCAUGUGAAUUGCCUGAGAUGGUUAGUGAUAGUGAAAGUUAUGAUGACAGAUAAUUACUCCUCCAAGAAGAAGAAUCAGAAGAGUGGUAAGGUGACAUGGGCCGCGUCUGUCGGUGGCUGAGGAAAGGCGGUUCGAGCCUGACGUGGUCGUCGAUGAGGAGCUUCUGGAUGUCACCGGCGCCGGCAAUCCUCGAGGGCAAAGGCUGUGACAAGCGGCGGCGGCGGUGCUUGGGCAGCAACAAUCCGAGCAUGAUGAGGUCAGAGUUCGCUAUCAAAUCCGCUACAUUUAUCUUGGAUCCAUGCCCAGCGUCUCAAACUGGCUAGCAAUUUAUUCAAAGGAUGGGCGAAAUCACGUCACCUCAGCUUGCGAUGCAUUUGCCUGCUAGGAAUUGGGAUCGAUCCAUUCUUUGCUCCGUUUCUAUUCAGAUUUUCAUGUCUUGAUUGAUUUUGCAAAUUUUCCUCUUUGUAGCCACCGCGUGAAAUGAACCUAGCAUUGUGCAUGGUCGCAGGAGUCUCUGCAAGUUACUUGCUUGUUGAUUCUGCAUAUUGGAAUAAUAAGUAACUACUUUGUGAAGUUCUUCUAAUUUCGAAUGUUAUAGACAGCUAGAAAGACAGCCCAUUGUACAAGUUGUCUAUAUCGAUAUCUAGAGAUGAUAUGGAGAGCCGCUACAGAUAGAUACUAUCUAGACUAUUGUACUUGCCCUUAUUGCUGCAGGUCGAAGGCGUCGUGGUGGUGCAUUGGAGCUGGAGGAGGCGGCGGGCCAGUGUUGUUUGUGCUCAAGACGUACGAGAUGGUGGACAGCCCAUCGACGGAAGCAGCGGUCUGGUGGAGUGACGCGUUGGACACGGCCUUCAUGGUUUGGUGCUUGCUGGAGUUUGCAUCUUCAAGCACAGAAAUUUCUCCAGUUUCAUCCAUGAGCCCCC